rnacentral:lncRNA from 1 species
UUAUUUGGUCGUGAGUGAACUUGACGUGCUCAUUUAGAUCUGUCAUCUUGUGGCAAGACUUAACUCCAUGGAGGCUAUGAUCAAGAUUCCAAUUCCAUAUUUAAUUUGCAUGUAGGCAUGUUUACCUUACCCAAGCUAGCUUUGCAAUUAGCAAGCUGUAAUUAUCCCCCCACAAGCAACUGGCUGUAAGUCUUCUCUAUUUCUUAAGAACACAAGCAACUAAAUGAAUCUUAUAAGGUGCUU